CAUUGAUAAUAUUUUACAAUUAUUAUCCGCCUGGGUACUACGAGCAUCAGCUUAAAACCCAAAGGACUUGGCGGUGCUUUAGAUCCACCUAGAGGAGCCUGUUCUAGAACCGAUAACCCCCGUUCAACCUCACCCUUCCUUGUUUUUCCCGCCUAUAUACCACCGUCGUCAGCUUACCCUGUGAAGGCCUAAUAGUAAGCAAAAUUGGCACAGCCCAAAACGUCAGGUCGAGGUGUAGCGUAUGGAAGGGGAAGAAAUGGGCUACAUUCCCUAAUCCAGUGCAUACGGACGACACACUGAAACACGUAUCUGAAGGAGGAUUUAGCAGUAAGCAGAAAAUAGAGCGUUCUGCUGAAACUGGCCCUGAAGCGCGC
rnacentral:rRNA from 1 species